GUAGUUCAGUGUUAGAGUGCUUGCCUUGCAUGCAUGAGGCCCUGGGUUCAAGUCUCAGC
rnacentral:tRNA from 1 species